AGAGUUUGAUCAUAGCUCAGGAUGAACGCUAGCGGUGCGCCUAACACAUGCAAGUCGAGCGGUAUAUAUGAGUUAGCUUGCUAUUUUGUAUAGAGAGCGGCAGACGGGUGAGUAUUACCUUAGUACCUACCUCUAAGACAGGGAUAGCUCUGAGAAAUCAGGAUUAAUACCGGAUGUGCCCUACGGGGUAAAGCAGUAAUGCGCUUAGAGAGGGGCUUUGGUCCUAUCAGUUAGUUGGUGAGGUGAAAGCUCACCAAGACGAUGACGGGUAGCUGCUGUGAGAGCACGACCAGCCACAAUGGAACUGAGACACGGUCCAUACUCCCACGGGAGGCAGCAGUGAGGAAUCUUCCACAAUGGGCGCAAGCCUGAUGGAGCGACACCGCGUGAAGGAUGAAGGCUUUAAUGUUGUAAACUUCUUUUCUGGAGGAAGAUAAUGACGGUACUCCAGGAAUAAGGGACGGCUAACUACGUGCCAGCAGCCGCGGUAAUACGUAGGUCCCAAGCGUUAUCCGGAAUUACUGGGCGUAAAGCGUCUGUAGGCGGAUUGUUAAGUGAGAUAUGAAAGACCGAGGCUCAACCUCGUGGCGAGUAUCUCAAACUGACAAUCUAGAACAAGAGAGGGGAAAGCGGAAUUCUUGGAGUAGGGGUGCAAUCCGUAGAUACCAAGAGGAACACCAAAAGCGAAGGCAGCUUUCUGGAACUUUGUUGACGCUGAGAGACGAAAGCGUGGGGAGCGAAAAGGAUUAGAUACCCUUGUAGUCCACGCCCUAAACGAUGAUGAUUAAAUGUCGGGACUUCAUUGUCUCGGUGUUGUAAGCUAACGCGUUAAAUCAUCCGCCUGAGUAGUACGACCGCAAGGUUAAAACUCAAAUGAAUAGACGGGGACCCACACAAGCAGUGGAUCAUGUUGUUUAAUUCGAUAAUAAACGGGGAAUCUCACCUAGACUUGACAUCCCAAAGAGUUCUUAGAAAUAAGAAUGUGCUCGUAAGAGAAUUUGGUGACAGGUGCUGCAUGGUUGUCGUCAGCUCGUGCCUUGAGGUGUUCGGUUAAGUCCGUUAACGAGCGGAACCCAUGUCUUUAGUUACGAUGUCUAAAGAGACUGCCUCGGUUAACGAGGAGGAAGGUAUGGAUGACGCCAAAUCAGCAUGGCCCUUAUGUCUAGGGCUACAAACAUGAUACAAUGGUCGGUACAAAGAGUAGCCAACUUGUAAGAGUGAGCUAAUCUCAAAAAGCCGAUCCCAGUCCGGGUUGAGGUCUGAAACUCGACCUCAUGAAGUUGGAAUUGCUAGUAAUCGUGAAUCAGAUAUGUCACGGUGAAUGUGUUCCUGGGUCUUGUACUCACCGCCCGUCACGGCAUGGAAGGUGGUAAUAUCGGAAGUUCUUCACCUAAUAUGAAGACCCAUGGUAGGACCACUAACUGGGCUGAAGUCGGAACAAGGUA
rnacentral:rRNA from 1 species